UACGUAGGUGGCAAGCGUUGUCCGGAAUUAUUGGGCGUAAAGCGCGCGCAGGUGGUUUCUUAAGUCUGAUGUGAAAGCCCACGGCUCAACCGUGGAGGGUCAUUGGAAACUGGGGAACUUGAGUGCAGGAGAGAAGAGUGGAAUUCCAUGUGUAGCGGUGAAAAUGCGUAGAUAUAUGGAGGAACACCAGUGGCGAAGGCGGCCUGCUGGGACAUGGCUGACGCUGAGGCGCGACAGCGUGGGGAGCAAACAGG
rnacentral:rRNA from 1 species